UAGCUAGUAAUCAAAAUAGUAUAUUUUGGAUUCCCCAAAACCACAUUUUUGAUGAAAAAAGCCCAACAACCCAGAACCAACAUACUUCAAAAAGUAGAUCCCAAACUUCUUCAACUCUGCUUGAUAAAUUUGUGCAGUAUGAUCAAGAUGCUAGGGCUGGUAUAAUUGGGCUCAGCCUGAGCCAUAGAAAGGAAUACACUGCAACCUCAAGUAUAAGAAACACAGUUUCUUUAGGUAGAGCAUCUUCAAUGCCUCCUCCUUUAUGCUCACUGUGUCAACACAAGGCUCCAGUUUUUGGAAAACCU
rnacentral:misc_RNA from 1 species